rnacentral:ncRNA from 1 species
CCCGAUAAGGGCAAACCCGCCGUGAGGCGGGGACGCAAAGCCACGGGUCAGGCGACGACCUGACAGCCGGGCUACCGAAG